GCGGUGGUGGCGGAAUUGGCAGACGCGCUGGGUUUAGGACCCAGUCCCGAAAGGGGUGGAGGUUCGAGUCCUCUCCGCCGCA
rnacentral:tRNA from 1 species